GGAUUCAUAACUCAGCUGUGGUAGAGCGUUUGCACCGGAAUCGCAAAGGUCAUGGGUUCGAAUCCCCUUGUUGUCCU